rnacentral:rRNA from 1 species
GAUGAACGCUAGCUACAGGCUUAACACAUGCAAGUCGCAGGGUAACAUGAGGAAAGCUUGCUUUCCUUGAUGACGACUGGCGCACGGGUGAGUAACGCGUAUCCAACCUUCCCAUAACUACGGGAUAACCCGUUGAAAGACGGCCUAAUACCGUAUGAUAUCGUUUGCUGACAUCAAAUAACGAUUAAAGGUUUAGCGGUUAUGGAUGGGGAUGCGUCUGAUUAGCUUGUUGGCGGGGUAACGGCCCACCAAGGCGACGAUCAGUAGGGGUUCUGAGAGGAAGGUCCCCCACAUUGGAACUGAGACACGGUCCAAACUCCUACGGGAGGCAGCAGUGAGGAAUAUUGGUCAAUGGGCGAGAGCCUGAACCAGCCAAGUAGCGUGCAGGAUGACGGCACUAUGGGUUGUAAACUGCUUUUAUGUGGGGAUAAAGUGCGUGACGUGUCAUGCAUUGCAGGUACCACAUGAAUAAGGACCGGCUAAUUCCGUG